rnacentral:rRNA from 1 species
AUUGAACGCUGGCGGCAUGCUUUACACAUGCAAGUCGAACGGCAGCGCGGGCUUUGGCCUGGCGGCGAGUGGCGAACGGGUGAGUAAUGCAUCGGAACGUGCCCAGUAGUGGGGGAUAGCCCGGCGAAAGCCGGAUUAAUACCGCAUACGACCUGAGGGUGAAAGCGGGGGACCGAAAGGCCUCGCGCUAUUGGAGCGGCCGAUGUCGGAUUAGCUAGUUGGUGGGGUAAAGGCUUACCAAGGCGACGAUCCGUAGCUGGUCUGAGAGAACGACCAGCCACACUGGGACUGAGACACGGCCCAGACUCCUACGGGAGGCAGCAGUGGGGAAUUUUGGACAAUGGGGGCAACCCUGAUCCAGCCAUGCCGCGUGCGGGAAGAAGGCCUUCGGGUUGUAAACCGCUUUUGUUCGGGAAGAAAUCCUCUGGGCUAAUACCCCGGGGGGAUGACGGUACCGGAAGAAUAAGCACCGGCUAACUACGUG